GGGGGAGCCUCCGGGAGA
rnacentral:rRNA from 1 species